rnacentral:rRNA from 1 species
UUAUGUACACACUUACAACAUAGUGUUAAUGCACCGGAUCCCAUUAGAACUCCGUAGUUAAGCGUGCUCGGGCUAGAGUAGUACUGGGAUGGGUGACCACUUAGGAAGUCUUAUUGUUUUGCAUGCC